rnacentral:rRNA from 1 species
UUCCGGUUGAUCCUGCCGGAGGCUACCGCUAUUGGAGUUCGAUUAAGCCAUGCGAGUCGCGAGUCUUAGGGACUCGGCGUACCGCUCAGUAACACGUGGGUAACCUGCCCUAUGCAGGGGGAUAACCUCGGGAAACUGAGAAUAAUACCCCAUAGUUCACCACGCCUGGAACGGUGGGUGGAUGAAAGCUCCGGCGGCAUAGGAUGGGCCUGCGGCGUAUCAGGUUGUAGGGGGUGUAAUGUACCCUCUAGCCAUCUACGCGUACGGGUGUUGGGAGACAUCGCCCGGAGAUGGAUUCUGAGACACGAAUCCAGACCCUACGGGGUGCAGCAGGCGCGAAAACUUGGCAAUGCGAGCAAUCGUGACCAGGGAACUCCAAGUGCAUCGGGUAAGACCGAUGCUUUUCUUGACUCUUCAAAGGUCUUGGAAUAAGGGGUGGGUAAGGACGGUGCCAGCCGCCGCGGUAAUACCGGCGCCUCAAGUGGUAGUCGCUUUUAUUGGGCCUAAAACGUCCGUAGCCGGUUUGGUACAUUCGUGGGUAAAUCAAGGCGCUCAACGUCUUGAAUUCUGCGAGCACGGCCAGACUUGGGACCGGGUGAGGUGUGGGGUACUCUCAGGGUAGGGGUAAAAUCCUGUCAUCCUGAGAGGACCACCUGUUGCGAAGGCGCCACACUAGAACGGAUCCGACGGUCAGGGACGAAGCCUAGGGGCACGAACCGGAUUAGAUACCCGGGUAGUCCUAGGUGUAAACGCUGUGGACUUGAUGUUGGGAGUGCUCCGAGCACCCUCAGUGUCGAAGCGAAGGUGAUAAGUCCACUGCCUGGGGAGUACGGUCGCAAGGCUGAAACUUAAAGGAAUUGGCGGGGGAGCACCGCAACCUGAGGAUUGUGCGGUUUAAUUGGAGUCAACGCCGGA